AAUAAUAUACAAAAACAGAGGUGUUUGUUUACAAAGAAUAAAAAUAAAUGCAACAUGAUGUAUACAUUUUCGUCAAGUUCCAUUCUGCCUUUUCUCUCCGAACCUUAUUUAUAUGGCACGUGUUUUAUCCUGUGUUAACAAAAACCAAAUUCCUUAGCAUGUGUGUAAAUCGCUUUAAUUGUAUUAUGAUAGAAACAUAGUAUUUGGAACAGACUUCAAGACAGAAUGUACAGUUGGAAAUCAGAACCUAAGUCGAUUAAUUUACUGAUAUAAAACAUAUCUAUGUGAUGACAGAAGCGGUGAAUGAGUAACUCUGAUAUCAGUGUAACACAGUAGUGUAAAUUAAUUAUUAAAUAGGGAAAAAACUUGAAGAGCCUUGAUUGUAACAAAUUUACGACAAGGUUUGUUACAUAACGUCUUGCAUAAAACAAAAUAAAACUAUUAAUUACUUUUUAAAAAUGGAUUACAAAAGAGAAUAUUAUUAAAAGGAAGAAAAAAAAACUAUAUUAUUUGUAAAAAUGAAAAAUAAGUUUCCUUUUAAAUGUAUUAUAAGGAUCACCAAACAUGUUAAUGCCUGGUAAAUUCCUGGUGGUC
rnacentral:misc_RNA from 1 species